CUAUUUGCCAGACACUCUGCUAAGAGACUGUAUUGAAAUUAUCUGAUUCACAUUUGUCCUUUGAAAUAGGUACUACGGUUUUACCCAUUUGGAGAUGAGGAAUUGAGACUAAGAGAGGUUAAAUACUUUGCCCAGUGUGAUGCAACAAGCAACAACAAAUUCAAGAUUGGAACAGAGACAAUUUGACUCUUGAGAUUGUUUUUAACUACAUAAUAGAGUUCACCAGCAUUUAUACAAGUAUGGGAGUGAUUUCCUUAUGUGUAAGAGAAGUCUGAUAGGUAUAUAAUAAACGUCCUCACCUCAAGAAGUAAAAAAGAAGAAAUUAGUCUCCAGGAUUUUUGCCAUUGUUUAUAGAAUAAAAGGUGAGUGUAU
rnacentral:lncRNA from 1 species